rnacentral:rRNA from 1 species
AACGAACGCUGGCGGCGCGCCUAACACAUGCAAGUCGAACGAGAAGGCGUAGCAAUACGCUUGUAGAGUGGCGAACGGGUGAGUAAUACGUGGGUGACCUACCCUCGAGUGGGGAAUAACCCGCCGAAAGGCGGGCUAAUGCCGCGUACGCUUCCGUCCUCACGGGGACGGAAGGAAAGCUGUACCGUGGGUACGGCGCUCAAGGAUGGGCUCACGUCCUAUCAGCUUGUUGGUAGGGUAGCGGCCACCAAGGCUACGACGGGUAGCUGGUCUGAGAGGACGAUCAGCCACACUGGCACUGCGACACGGGCCAGACUCCUACGGGAGGCAGCAGUGGGGAAUUUUGGACAAUGGGCGCAAGCCUGAUCCAGCCAUGCCGCGUGC